CUUCCAUUUGGACUGGGGAUCGCAUGGUGGUAUAAUUUGGCAGUCGUGCGGCAUAAUGCAAGAAAUGGUCCGUCCGGAGCCAUAAUGCCAGCACAUACAUCCGUAACAAAGCGAAGGCGUCGAAAUACUAUCUGCUGUAGCAAAUGCAUGCGUAUCAUUUGGGGCAUGUCUCGCUGCCGCCUGGAUUCGCAGGACAAACUCGAAACCUGUGCAUCCACUUUCAGACAUUUGAGUUUUGGUGCUUCCUGAAAGAUGAGCAUGGGCGAUCGUUAACAGCUCCUGACAGCUGCACUACUGGCACGGAAUGAUAUGGUUUUGCUUGUCUCAGGGUGGAUUUGCCACCAUUGGUGGUACUGUGGGGUGCCAUAAGGCUUAUGAAAAAGCUCUUGAUACUGGGUAGAGCAGUGCUGGUGAACCUGUGAAGUCUUGUUGGAAAUCAGUUACAGGUAAGAAGCUGUAGUAUAAAAUUCCAAACCUUGUUCAUUGUUGUGCCACAGCCCCAGCUCCAUACUGGAUAUUAAUUUCAGGUAUGGCGUUUUAUGCUGUGGAGAUGAAAAGCUGUUCAGCUAUAUUAUCCUUCUUCAAUAGCUGGGUAAUACGUAGUUCAGCAACACUGUCCUUAUGCUUUUGAUCGGGCUUGUGCCCUUUGUAAAU
rnacentral:lncRNA from 1 species